CAGCUUUCCAUGCACUCCUGCUGCAGCGCCUGCGGGCCAGCAAAUCUCGUCUGGAUGCUGCCUGCAGCUCUCCUGGCUCGAUACCCUUUCCCUUGGAAUAUUCUGCCCUCCAUGUCCAUGGCCUGAAUUUCUUGAUUUUUGUGGCACACUGCCAAGCUCAUCUACACUAAAGGAAAUUCCCCAGGUGUAUGUGGGCAGACUCACGGAGCAGUUUCUGAUCAAGUGUCAUUUCAUAAUUCUCCUCACUCAAACAAACCCCAGUUCGAGCCCUUGUUCUCUAUCCAGCUGAUUCUUCAGAAGAUACUUCUCCACUUGUUGAACUUUUGCAGGUUUCCCAAGUGGAGAAGGCACAAAUGAAAGUGUUGUUUAGUUCUAAAUAGUUGUUGUUGUUGAUUAUUUAUAUCCUGGCAGCACCAGUCAGAGCCCAGAAUCUCA